UAGGGAAUCUUCCGCAAUGGACGCAAGUCUGACGGAGCAACGCCGCGUGAGUGAAGAAGGAUUUCGGUUCGUAAAACUCUGUUGUUAGAGAAGAACAGCGCAUAGAGUAACUGUUAUGCGUGUGACGGUAUCUAACCAGAAAGCCACGGCUAACUACGUGCCAGCAGCCGCGGUAAUACGUAGGUCCCGAGCGUUGUCCGGAUUUAUUGGGCGUAAAGCGAGCGCAGGCGGUUAGAAAAGUCUGAAGUGAAAGGCAGUGGCUCAACCAUUGUAGGCUUUGGAAACUGUUUAACUUGAGUGCAGAAGGGGAGAGUUGAAGUCCAUGUGUAGCGGUGAAAUGCGUAGAUAUAUGGAGGAACACCGGUGGCGAAAGCGGCUCUCUGGUCUGUAACUGACGCUGAGGCUCGAAAGCGUGGGGAGCGAACAGG
rnacentral:rRNA from 1 species